CCCCUCCUUCCACCCCCUUCCUCCCAUCCCCUCCUUUCAUCCCCUCCUCUCCUCUCCGGCCCCACCCCUCUUCUCCUCUCUGGCCUCACCCCUCCUCUCACUCCUCCUUCCAGAUGCCCCACCUCCCUACUGUUUCUCCCUGGCCCCUCCCCUCCCCCACUCCCUCCUUCCCACCUCCCUCCCGCGCUGUCCUCCCUGAGGCUGUACCUCCUGUGGGUAGGAAGUCUAUAUUCCAGGAGCUGACACUGCUUCUGGCACUUAGCAGGGCUCAUGGCAUUUAAUUUGUGCCUUGAGGAUAAAAAUAAUAAUAGUUCCACUUUCUGGGCACUCGUCUCCUGCAGCCCCUGUCACGGACUUGCUGGAGUGUUACCUCUUUGAAGCCUCACUCCCGCCCGUUAGGAAGCUGCUGCAGUCCUGACUCCUGCGUCACAGUCCUCUGCAGGACCGAGGCUGUGUGGACGGAGGCUGUGUGGAUGGAGAUCCCACCAUCACCGAGUUCGGGCAAGUCCCAUGAGGGUCUCAGCUCCUCAUCCGUAACAUCAGGAUGAUAAAGCCUCCCUCGCAGGAUGGCCGUGCGAGUGCCCAGAUCCCAGGAGAGGGCUGGUAAAUGGGCGUUGCCUGCCCCAUCCCUUUCUACCUGCACGGAAAAGGAGAGAUGGCCCAGCCUCAGGUCAUCAGGACCCUUGAGCCAACCCUGCAUCUCAGCCCUGACUCCCACCCAGAAUGCCGGCCUUCCUCACCAAGGGUCUGGCUGACACCUCUGCGAUGCUCAUCACUAGUCACUUGGGAUUCCCUGGUGAUAUGGUUUGGCUGUGUCCCCACCCAACUCUCAUCUUGAAUUGUAGUUCCCAUAAUCCCCACAUGUCAUGGGAGGGACGGGGUGGAGAUAAUUCAAUCAUGGAGCGGUUUCCUCUGUCCUGUUCUCAUGAUAGUGAGCUAGUUCUCACGAGAUCUGAUUGUUUUAUAAAGGGCUUCUUUCUUCGCUGGGCACUCAUUCUCUCUCCUGCCAUCAUGUGAAGAGGGUCUUUGCUUCCCCUUUACUUUCCAUCAUGAUUGUAAGUUUCCUGAGGUCUCCCCAGCCAUGCGGAACUGUGAGUCAAUUAAACCUCUUUCCUUUAUAAAUUACCCAGUCUUGGGUAUUCCUUCAUAGAAGCAUGAGAAUAGACUAGUACACCUGGGGAGCAAGGCCUAGGGUGAAAAGUGAAGCUCAGAGCAGUUACCCUCC
rnacentral:lncRNA from 10 species